AACGAACGCUGGCGGCGUGCCUAACACAUGCAAGUCGAGCGCGAAAGUUCUUCGGAACGAGUAGAGCGGCGCACGGGUGAGUAACACGUGGGUAAUCUGACCUUUGAUUUGGGAUAACUCGGGGAAACUCGAGCUAAUACCGAAUAAGGCCACGAGAUGGAAAUUUUGUGGAGAAAGCGGAAACCCUUUUCGGAGGCCUCGCGUCGAAGGAUGAGCCUGCGUCCCAUCAGCUAGUUGGUAGGAUAAUGGCCUACCAAGGCGAAGACGGGUAACUGGUCUGAGAGGAUGAUCAGUCACACUGGAACUGAGACACGGUCCAGACUCCUACGGGAGGCAGCAGUGGGGAAUAUUGCGCAAUGGGCGAAAGCCUGACGCAGCAACGCCGCGUGAGUGAUGAAGGCCUUCGGGUCGUAAAGCUCUGUCGGCAGGAACGAAGGAUGGUUGUUUUAAUAAAACAAUUGCUUGACGGUACCUGCAAAGGAAGCACCGGCUAACUCUGUGCCAGCCGCCGCAGUAACAC
rnacentral:rRNA from 1 species